AUGAUCCGCACCUCCUCCCCCUUAGAAGCAACUCAGUGAGUCAAACUGGUGGACCCCUCGUCUCCAUCCACCUCCACUCCCUCCGUUCCCCAUUCCCCUUCUCAAUCAGAAUCAUCUCUGUAAUUCUCCCCAAAACCCUAACCCUAACCCUUCCCUUCAAUUCCACCCCAAUUCCCAUGGACUCCACCACCAACGUCUUGCCGGAUUCCCAAAACGACGGCAGCAAAACGCAGCCGCAGAGAGUGAACGGUUACAUCGUCUACACUAGAAGAAAGAGGCUCAAAACCAAGUGUGAAAGCCAAGUUCAUGAAAACGAUGCCGUUGCAAAUGCGGAUAGCAAAUUGGAAUUGAAGACGUCGAAGAAGAUCAUCUUGGUCAACAAGAAGCCAAUGACCGUCAAAGAACUCUUCCAUACAGGUUUGCUUGAUGGGGUUCCAGUUGUCUACGUCGGUUGCAAGAAGGCUUCAACUUCGGGAUUGCGGGGUGUAAUUAGAGAUGGGGGGAUAUUGUGCUCAUGCCAUCUGUGCGAUGGACUCAGAGUUAUUCCACCUUCUCAAUUCGAGAUUCAUGCUUGCAACACAUAUAAGAGGGCAGCGGAGUAUAUUUGCUUUGAAAAUGGGAAGAGCCUGCUUGAACUAUUGGGAGCUUGCAGGGCAGCUCCCCUCCAUACUUUGGAGGCGACCAUUCAAAAUUUUGUUUGUUCUCCGCCUGAGGAAAAAUAUUUUACUUGCAGAAGUUGCAGAGGAUGUUUCCCUUCUUCCAGUGUGGAAAGAGUUGGGCUUAUAUGCCGUUCUUGCAUGGAAUCAAAGAAAUCCGAAGACAGUUGUCUUCAUGUAGUUGGCAAAAGAGUCAGGUUCCCUCGGCCAGCGCUAUUCUCCAGAGCAUGUUGUACUUCUGAACUGUGUAUCUCUUCACAAACUAAAAGACACUGGAAGACAAGAACAAAGUCAUCAAAACUGUCAGUAAAAUUGAAGACUGCUCCAAUCGCUUCAAAUUCGAAGUGUUUAUCUCCCCAAAACAAAAGUCAGUGGAGGAUCACCAAAAAGCAUCAAAGAUUGAAUAAAUUAAUUUUUGAAGAAGAUGGAUUGCCUAAUGGAGCUGAAGUAGCUUAUUAUGCACGAGGGCAGAAAUUGCUUGAGGGUAUCAAAACGCAAUUUGGAAUUGUUUGUCGAUGUUGCAACACUGAGAUCAGCCCCUCACAGUUUGAGGUCCAUGCAGGGUGGGCUUCUCGCAGGAAACCGUAUGCAUACAUCUACACGUCAAAUGGGGUGUCUCUCCUAGAGUUAGCAAUAUUUCUCUCAAAAGAUCGCAAAUGCACUGCAAAAUGUAAUGAUGAUGUAUGCAUUGUUUGUUGGGAUGGUGGUAACCUGUUGCUCUGUGAUGGAUGUCAAAGGGCAUUUCAUAAAGAAUGUGCAUCUGUAUCAAGUAUUCCACGUGGUGACUGGUACUGUCAAAUUUGUCAACACAUGUACCUUGGAGAAGGGUCUAUGUUAUACAAUGCUGAUGCUGUGGCUGCUGGAAGGGUUGAAGGAGUUGAUCCUAUUGAGCAGAUUGCCAAGAGAUGCAUUCGCAUAGUAAAAGACAUUGAAGCUGAGAUGGGUGGAUGCAUUUUAUGCAGGGCUUCUGACUUCAGCAGAUCAGGCUUUGGCCCACGCACAAUUAUAAUCUGUGAUCAGUGUGAAAAGGAAUAUCAUGUUGGCUGUUUGAGCGAUCAUAAGAUGGCAUAUUUAAAGGAGUUGCCAGAAGGGGAUUGGCUUUGUUGCAAUGAUUGCACAAGAAUACAUUCUACUUUGGAGAAUCUCCUGGUUAGGGUGGCUGAGAGACUCCCUGAAUCUCUUUUGGAUGUUAUAAAGAAGAAGCAAGUGGAAAGAUGUGUAGAACCGCCUAAUGAGUUUGAUGUAAGAUGGAAACUUCUUAAUGGAAAAAUUGCUUCUCCUGAAACCAGGCCAUUGCUUUUGGAGGCUGUGUCAAUGUUUCAUAUGAAGGAGAUAAUCCCUGUUUGUUCCCCAACAAAUGGUAGAGUAGCUUUGCAUUUUUAUUAUUAAUGGUGCUAUUUUUUUUUUCACUAAAUUGAUUCUUUUUCAUCGCAUGCCUUCAGCAUGUGAUUUAACAGUCACUGGAAAGCUUAUUUAUGAAUCCAUUUUUAGGAAAGUAUUGAAAUGUUUUGCCUUCAGCAUAAAAACAUGUUCAUGCAUUUAUGAUUUGUGGGAAUUUAUUCCCUCACAGUUUCUGUUGGAUUGGUUUAUGCCAGUGUAUUUACCACUCUUGCACCAUUCAAUAACUUAAUAUAAAAGUGGCUUUGGUUUAUACCAGUGUAAACUAAUCCAUUAGCGAGAGGAUUAUUACAUGAGAGAGUGAGUAAACAUAGACCAUUAAUUAUACAUGAAUAGCUAAAAUUAAAUUAUAAAAGUCAUAUGACUUUUUUAAAUAGUCAUAUGUGACCUUUGAUUUUGACCAUUAUUGUAAGAUCUAUAGGUCUACAUUUACUCCUCUUUCUCAUACAUCAGUAUGUGUAUAUUUGUGUCUACAUUUUAUAUAAGUAUUGCUUAGGGUUCAGGGCAUUUGUUUUGUGUAUGUUGCGCAUGUAAUGAUGUGUUACAAACUUACAAUGUCUAUCUCUGCUGUAGGUAAUGAUGCCUUUCUAUUUUUGUUCGGGAAAACCCUUUUAGUUCAUAAGAUUAUUAAAAGAAAAAAAUUCGAUACAAGUAUUGGGCUUUUUGGUCUUUAGAGAUCUGUUGCAUGUUUCAGGAAUGCUUUAAUCCUAUAGUUGAUGCAGUUACUGGACGUGACCUUAUUCCUGCCAUGGUUUAUGGAAGGAAUUUGCAGACUCAGGAUUUUGGAGGAAUGUAUUGUGCAUUAUUGAUUGUCAAUUCAUCUGUGGUAUCUGCGGGUAUGCU